UACGUAGGGGGCAAGCGUUGUCCGGAAUCAUUGGGCGUAAAGCGCGCGUAGGCGGCCUGAUAAGUCUGCUGUGAAAGUCCAGGGCUCAACCCUGGGAAUGCCGGUGGAUACUGUCGGACUGAGAGUCGGAAGAGGCGAAGUGGAAUUCCUGGUGUAGCGGUGGAAUGCGCAGAUAUCAGGAGGAACACCUAUAGCGAAGGCAGCUUGCUGGGACGACACUGACGCUGAGGCGCGAAAGCGUGGGGAGCGAACAGG
rnacentral:rRNA from 1 species